GACGAACGCUGGCGGCGUGCUUAACACAUGCAAGUCGAACGGAAAGGCCCUGCUUUUGUGGGGUGCUCGAGUGGCGAACGGGUGAGUAACACGUGAGUAACCUGCCCUUGACUUUGGGAUAACUUCAGGAAACUGGGGCUAAUACCGGAUAGGAGCUCCUGCUGCAUGGUGGGGGUUGGAAAGUUUCGGCGGUUGGGGAUGGACUCGCGGCUUAUCAGCUUGUUGGUGGGGUAGUGGCUUACCAAGGCUUUGACGGGUAGCCGGCCUGAGAGGGUGACCGGCCACAUUGGGACUGAGAUACGGCCAAGACUCAUACGGGAGGCAGCAGUGGGGAAUAGUGCACAAUGGGCGGAAGCCUGAUGCAGCAACGCCGCGUGCGGGAUGACGGCCUUCGGGUUGUAAACCGCUUUCGCCUGUGACGAAGCGUGAGUGACGGUAAUGGGUAAAGAAGCACCGGCUAACUACGUG
rnacentral:rRNA from 1 species